rnacentral:lncRNA from 1 species
CAGUUAUGGCUAUGGUGAUCAAAGAUGACCGUCUUAACAAAGACCGGAAGCUAUGAAGCAGAUAACCCAGCUCCUACCAGAGGACCUCAGAAAGGAGCUCUAUGAACUUUGGGAAGUAAGUAUAUAUGGAGUACGAGACCCAAUCUAGUGCAGAAGCCAAAUUUGUGAAGCAGCUAGACCAAUGUGAAAUGAUUCUUCAAGCAUCUGAAUAUGAAGACCUUGAACACAAACCUGGGAGACUGCAAGACUUCUAUGAUUCCACAGCAGGAAAAUUCAAUCACCCUGAGAUAGUCCAGCUUGUUUCUGAACUUGAGGCAGAAAGAAGCACUAACAUAGCUGCAGCUGCCAGUGAGCCACACUCCUGAGACACUCUCUAAAUUGCUGCACUCCUGUAACAAACAUUAUUUUUCCAUUUCAUUGUAUUGUGUUUUGCCAUUGUUGGUCUGUUGAUUUCCCUAGAUGUGAGUCUGUUUGUUUUCAAUUGUCUGAACUUCAGCAAGAAAUGUGAUACAACUUGGGCACUAAAAGAAGCCACAGAACAGGAAGCGGUCAUGAAAGUGCCAUGGAUGAACACUGGAGGUGGCAGUGCCUGUUUAUGAACUAAAUAAAUAAAUAUUAAACAC